rnacentral:rRNA from 1 species
GACAGAGGGGGCAAGCGUUGCUCGGAAUCACUGGGCGUAAAGGGCGCGUAGGCGGGAUGGCAAGUCAGUCGUGAAAUCUCUCGGCUCAACCGAGAAACGUCGGCUGAUACUGCCGUUCUUGAGGGAUGCAGAGGAGACUGGAAUUCCCGGUGUAGCGGUGAAAUGUGUAGAGAUCGGGAGGAACACCAGAGGCGAAGGCGGCGACCUGGACAGGUACUGACACUCAACUACGAAAGCGUGGGGAGCAAACAGG